rnacentral:sRNA from 1 species
CGCCGCGCCGCCCGUCGGGCAUGGACUCGGGCCGGGACUUCCUGACCCUGCACGGCCUACAGGAUGAUGAGGAUCUACAGGCGCUGCUGAAGGGCAGCCAGCUCCUGAAGGUGAAGUCCAGCUCAUGGAGGAGAGAGCGCUUCUACAAGUUGCAGGAGGACUGCAAGACCAUCUGGCAGGAGUCCCGCAAAGUCAUGCGGACCCCGGAGUCCCAGCUGUUCUCCAUCGAGGACAUUCAGGAGGUGCGAAUGGGGCACCGCACGGAGGGUCUGGAGAAGUUCGCCCGUGAUGUGCCCGAGGACCGCUGCUUCUCCAUUGUCUUCAAGGAUCAGCGCAAUACACUAGACCUCAUUGCCCCAUCGCCAGCUGAUGCCCAGCACUGGGUGCUGGGGCUGCGCAAGAUCAUCCACCACUCAGGCUCCAUGGACCAGCGGCAGAAGCUACAGCACUGGAUUCACUCCUGCUUGCGAAAAGCUGACAAAAACAAGGACAACAAGAUGAGCUUCAAGGAGCUGCAGAACUUCCUGAAGGAGCUCAACGUCCAGGUGGAUGACAGCUAUGCCCGGAAGAUCUUCAGGGAGUGUGACCACUCCCAGACAGACUCCCUGGAGGACGAGGAGAUUGAGGCCUUCUACAAGAUGCUGACCCAGCGGGUGGAGAUCGACCGCACCUUCGCUGAGGCCGCGGGCUCAGGGGAGACUCUGUCGGUGGAUCAGUUAGUGACGUUCCUGCAGCACCAGCAGCGAGAGGAGGCGGCGGGGCCUGCGUUGGCCCUCUCCCUCAUUGAGCGCUACGAGCCCAGUGAGACUGCCAAGGCGCAGCGGCAGAUGACCAAGGAUGGCUUCCUCAUGUACUUACUGUCGGCCGACGGCAGCGCCUUCAGCCUGGCACACCGCCGUGUCUACCAGGACAUGGGCCAGCCGCUUAGCCACUACCUGGUGUCCUCUUCGCACAACACCUACCUGCUGGAGGACCAGCUAGCCGGGCCCAGCAGCACUGAAGCCUACAUCCGGGCACUGUGCAAAGGCUGCCGAUGCCUGGAGCUUGACUGCUGGGACGGGCCCAACCAGGAACCGAUCAUCUACCAUGGCUAUACUUUCACUUCCAAGAUCCUCUUCUGCGAUGUGCUCAGGGCCAUCCGAGACUAUGCCUUCAAGGUGGGAGUGCCCCUGGCAGGUGAGGAGUGGGAAGCUAGGGGUGGCCCACCACUCCUAAUGUGUCCUUGGGCCUCCAGGCGUCCCCCUACCCCGUCAUCCUGUCCCUGGAGAACCACUGCACACUGGAGCAGCAGCGCGUGAUGGCGCGACACCUGCAUGCCAUCCUGGGCCCCAUGCUGUUGAACCGACCACUGGAUGGGGUCACCAACAGCCUGCCCUCCCCUGAGCAACUGAAGGGGAAGAUCCUGCUGAAGGGGAAGAAGCUCGGGGGGCUCCUGCCCCCUGAAGGGGAGGGUGGCCCUGAGGCCACUGUGGUGUCAGACGAAGACGAGGCUGCUGAGAUGGAGGAUGAGGCAGUGAGGAGCCGUGUGCAGCACAAGCCCAAGGUUUGAGGGGGAGCUGUGGGAUAGGGCAGCCCGGGCCUUCCCCAUCCCCUCACCCCUGGGAGGUCUGCCUUGUCUCAGUUCUCUGUGGCUGCCACUCAGACCCUCUGCCCCGCUCUCUCUGUCUGUCUCCCUCUGUCUCUCCGCGCCUGGGUUUCUGGCUUUCUCAGUGCCUACCCUGCCCCAACCACUGAAUCUAACCCGGGCCUCCCCGUGGCCCCCAGGAGGACAAGCUCAGGCUAGCACAGGAGCUCUCUGACAUGGUCAUUUACUGCAAGAGUGUCCACUUUGGGGGCUUCUCCAGUCCUGGCACCCCUGGACAGGCCUUCUACGAGAUGGCGUCCUUCUCUGAGAACCGUGCCCUUCGACUGCUCCAAGAAUCAGGAAACGGCUUUGUCCGCCACAACGUGGGGCACCUGAGCAGAAUCUACCCGGCUGGAUGGAGAACAGACUCCUCCAACUACAGCCCCGUGGAGAUGUGGAAUGGGGGCUGCCAGAUCGGUAUGGGCUGGCUGGGGCUGGAGGAGGCCUGGAGGAGGGUUUCAGUCCCAAGGCCGGGGGCCUGGAGCCUCGAAGGCCAUGCAGUGGCGCUCUGAGGACCCAAGCAGGGUCAAAUGCAGGGGCUUGUGGAGCUGGUAAUAUCAGUCUGGAAAUAUCUGCCCACCAGCAUGUCACAGUGUCUGAAACCUCAUUAGCACACUAGUCCUUUGAAUUCUGACACCAGGAAUGGAAGGUGUGGUUAGCAUGGUGGGUCACUGGGGUGGCAGGAGGGCAGCAGGCAUUGGAGUGAUGCUGGGCCCUGCUAACUCACCAUGUGACCCUAGGCCUCAGUGUACCAUGAGCAGGCUGUGCUCUAGGGCCCCAGGGCCAGCCCACAGCCUGCGACUGCUCUGUCCUGCCUGUAGUGGCCCUGAAUUUCCAGACACCUGGGCCAGAGAUGGACGUGUACCAGGGCCGCUUCCAGGACAACGGGGCCUGUGGGUACGUGCUGAAGCCCGCCUUCCUGCGAGACCCCAACGCCACCUUUAACCCCCGCGCCCUGGCUCAGGGGCCCUGGUGGGCACGGAAGCGGCUCAACAUCAGGGUCAUUUCGGGGCAGCAGCUGCCAAAAGUCAACAAGAAUAAGAAUUCAAUUGUGGACCCCAAGGUGACAGUGGAGAUCCACGGCGUGAGCCGGGACGUGGCCAGCCGCCAGACUGCUGUCAUCACCAACAAUGGUAGGUGCCGGGCCCGGGCUGGGCUACUAGGGCUGGUGUUCAUGCUGUUGAUAUGGUGCCUGUCCCCCUAGGUUUCAACCCAUGGUGGGACGCGGAGUUUGCGUUUGAGGUAGUUGUGCCUGACCUUGCCCUCGUCCGCUUCUUGGUGGAAGAUUAUGAUGCCUCCUCCAAGAAUGACUUCAUUGGCCAGAGUACCAUCCCCUUGAACAGCCUCAAGCAAGGAUACCGCCAUGUCCACCUCAUGUCUAAGAACGGGGACCAGCAUCCAUCAGCUACCCUCUUCGUGAAGAUCUCCCUCCAGGACUAGGCUGGAGGAAGCCAGUGGGGUCCCCCCGAGUGGGCUGGGCCCUCUGUCCACAUGUGGGGACAGGGCUGGUGUGGCUGCUCCCAGCCUCUUGCUCAGAGCUAGGCCCCCAAACUGCCUUCAGCUCUAACAUAGUGUCUGCUGCUGCCUCCCCGGGGACCGGGAGCUAGCCCAGUCCCUGGAGCUGUCCUUCAUUCCGUUAGGAACAACACUGCAGCCCUCUCCACCCUCUGGCCAGCCGGUGGUCAAGGGUUUUUAUAAAAAUCACGAUAAGAUUAA